rnacentral:rRNA from 1 species
CCUACGGGGGGCAGCAGUGGGGAAUAUUGGGCAAUGGGCGCAAGCCUGACCCAGCAACGCCGCGUGAAGGAAGAAGGCUUUCGGGUUGUAAACUUCUUUUAAGCGGGAAGAGCAGAAGACGGUACCUCUUGAAUAAGCCACGGCUAACUACGUGCCAGCAGCCGCGGUAAUACGUAGGUGGCAAGCGUUGUCCGGAUUUACUGGGUGUAAAGGGCGUGUAGCCGGGCUGACAAGUCAGAGGUGAAAUCCGGGGGCUCAACCCCCGAACUGCAUUUGAAACUGUUCGUCUUGAGUAUCGGAGAGGCAGGUAGAAUUCCUAGUGUAGCGGUGAAAUGCGUAGAUAUGAGGAGGAACACCAGUGGCGAAGGCGGCCUGCUGGACGAAGACUGACGGUGAGGCGCGAAAGCGUGGGGAGCAAACAGGAUUAGAUACCCUUGUAGUC